CAAAGAGAAGCGACCUCGCGAGAGCAAGCGGACCUCAUAAAGUGCGUCGUAGUCCGGAUUGGAGUCUGCAACUCGACUCCAUGAAGUCGGAAUCGCUAGUAAUCGUGGAUCAGAAUGCCACGGUGAAUACGUUCCCGGGCCUUGUACACACCGCCCGUCACACCAUGGGAGUGGGUUGCAAAAGAAGUAGGUAGCUUAACCUUCGGGAGGGCGCUUACCACUUUGUGAUUCAUGACUGGGGUGAAGUCGUAACAAGGUAACCGUAGGGGAACCUGCGGUUGGAUCACCUCCUUACCUUAAAGAA
rnacentral:rRNA from 1 species